ACGCUGUUGGUGAAGUGGUUAUCAUGAUUACCUUCCAUCGAGAAUAUCGGCAAAGAGUUUCGAGCAAGCGGCUCGGGUUCGAUUCCCGAACGGUGUA